GGGAAGACGAGUGGGGUCUGGGGGAAUGUGCCAUCAUAUUUUUCUCUAACAUGUUUAUAGUAAUCAAUGCCAAUAAAACUGAUAUUUCAGAAACCUACAAACACAAAUGAUGAAAAGCAGAAUCAAAUGAUAAAAGCACAAACCUUUUUAGAUGUAAGAUAGAUUUUUAUGAUGGUUUAUUUACCCCUUCUAAAGAGACCAAUAAAUUAUACCUUCCCUUUCUGAAUU
rnacentral:misc_RNA from 1 species